GAUGAACGCUGGCGGCGUGCCUAAUACAUGCAAGUCGAGCGAACAGACGAGGAGCUUGCUCCUCUGACGUUAGCGGCGGACGGGUGAGUAACACGUGGAUAACCUACCUAUAAGACUGGGAUAACUUCGGGAAACCGGAGCUAAUACCGGAUAAUAUAUUGAACCGCAUGGUUCAAUAGUGAAAGACGGUUUUGCUGUCACUUAUAGAUGGAUCCGUGCCGCAUUAGCUAGUUGGUAAGGUAACGGCUUACCAAGGCAACGAUGCGUAGCCGACCUGAGAGGGUGAUCGGCCACACUGGAACUGAGACACGGUCCAGACUCCUACGGGAGGCAGCAGUAGGGAAUCUUCCGCAAUGGGCGAAAGCCUGACGGAGCAACGCCGCGUGAGUGAUGAAGGUCUUCGGAUCGUAAAACUCUGUUAUUAGGGAAGAACAAAUGUGUAAGUAACUAUGCACGUCUUGACGGUACCUAAUCAGAAAGCCACGGCUAACUACGUG
rnacentral:rRNA from 1 species